ACCUACGGCCACACCACCCUGAAAGUGCCUGAUCUCCCAAGCGAUACAGGGUCGCGCCUUGUUAGUACCUGGAUGGGAGACCACCUGAGAAUACCAGGUGUCGUAGGCU
rnacentral:rRNA from 1 species